AAUGAAUAAAAUACAUUUCUGAGAUCAGAAGGUGCUCGAAGAGAGAGAGACCGAGAGAGAGAGACAGGGGGGAAAGUUCGUAGUUGACAAGAACCGUCAAAACGAACAAGAAGUCAUUGGAAGCUCACCUCGAAAGACCUUAAUUUGCACCGGGAUGGGUACUCUCCAUUUCUUAUUCAAGGGAAAAGACCCUAAAAGUCUGCCAACCGAAAUGCGGAGUGGGAUCUAUUCUGGAGGCAGGAGGGCACUCAGCCUGUUGACCGGUGCUGGUUUGGCUCUGAAUGACGUUCUAAACCUGCUCCUGUUUUAGCAGAGAUGUGGAUUUAGGCAAGUGGACAAAUUUGGAUGUCUGAGCCAUUCUCAGCCCCAAGCAGUGCAUUACUGCCCAUUAACUCCGGCUCUUGAAGUGCAAGAAAAUAGAGGCUACAUGACUUUACACCCCCCUCCCUCUGCUUUGGCAGUCACAGCUUCCCACCUGAAAGCCUGCUUGUAAUUUGUGUCACAAAGGCAGGUUUUUACAAAAGAGCUAAACUGAAGCAUUGAGCAACUGAAUUGUGUGUUGGUGGUAAGGACACAGCUAUUCCUGCAUCUAUUUAGUCCCCAUUUAAUCUAAUAUAAUCUAACUUCAGAUCAUGACACCAGGUCCUCCAAGAAAAAAAAAGCGGUAGCGUCACUAAUUAUGAUUCUUUUCUUUUGCUGUCAUUAGGUCAAUUGCUAUCCAUGUGUCUGACCUAUCUACUGAUAUUUUGUAUUAUAUCCCAGUUGCCACUUGUAUCUCAAGGGCUGUGUGCAAGCAUUUGUAAAAUAAUAGCGCAAGAUGGGAUAAAGGACAUCAUGACCUCCAUUUUCUGAUACUGCUCCACAGAAAAAAAGAAAGCUGUGUUCACUAGUGGGAGUUUGCUGUGGUUUCUCCAGAUCCAGGUGCAGGAAUCAGAGAACACUCUCUGUGUUAGCUCCCAGUGCUGAUUUCCCUGGCAUUGUCCCAGAGAGUAUUCCCCAAAUCAACAUUCCCCAGCAAAACCCAAAUUGCACUUAACAGUAAUGAUCAGCCAUAUUUAACUAACAUCGUAACUAACUUUUAAUGUGUUCAGAUUCCUAAGCAAUUUCUACAGCCAAGCCAAAUUUUGGUGUUUAUUUUGUCUUUAGUGACAGCUUCACU